UACGUAGGGUGCAAGCGUUAAUCGGAAUUACUGGGCGUAAAGCGUGCGCAGGCGGCUUUGCAAGACAGAUGUGAAAUCCCCGGGCUCAACCUGGGAACUGCAUUUGUGACUGCAUGGCUAGAGUGCGGCAGUGGGGGAUGGAAUUCCGCGUGUAGCAGUGAAAUGCGUAGAUAUGCGGAGGAACACCGAUGGCGAAGGCAAUCCCCUGGGCCUGCACUGACGCUCAUGCACGAAAGCGUGGGGAGCAAACAGG
rnacentral:rRNA from 1 species